GACUUCCAACACUAGGACAGCAUCACACAAUAAGAAAAGUAUGACAGAGAUACCCAUUCCGUUCCCAGCUUGCUCUUGCUCAGUAGCUGGCGAAUGGAAGACACAGUGUUAAAAAA
ensembl:snoRNA